ensembl:rRNA 5S_rRNA 5S ribosomal RNA
GCCAGCAGCCAUAUCACCCCGCAACUCACAACUGGCAACCCACUGAAGCUAAGCAGGUGUGAGCCUGGUCAGUACCUGGAUGGGAGACCUCCUGGGAAAAACUAAGGUUGCUGCUGGAA